rnacentral:rRNA from 1 species
UACAGAGGUCUCAAGCGUUGUUCGGAUUCAUUGGGCGUAAAGGGUGCGUAGGCGGUUUGGCAAGUCUUGUGUGAAAUCUUUGGGCUCAACCCAAAGUCUGCAUAAGAAACUGCCGGGCUUGAGUAUGGGAGAGGUGAGUGGAAUUUCCGGUGUAGCGGUGAAAUGCGUAGAUAUCGGAAGGAACACCCGUGGCGAAGGCGGCUCUCUGGGACGGUACUGACGCUGAGACGCGAAAGCGUGGGGAGCGAACAGG